rnacentral:rRNA from 1 species
UGGGGUGCUCGAGUGGCGAACGGGUGAGUAACACGUGGGUGAUCUGCCCUGCACUUCGGGAUAAGCUUGGGAAACUGGGUCUAAUACCGGAUAGGACCAUCGUUUAGUGUCGGUGGUGGAAAGUUUUUUCGGUGUGGGAUGAGCUCGCGGCCUAUCAGCUUGUUGGUGGGGUAAUGGCCUACCAAGGCGUCGACGGGUAGCCGGCCUGAGAGGGUGUACGGCCACAUUGGGACUGAGAUACGGCCCAG